GGGAAUAUUGGACAAUGGGGGAAACCCUGAUCCAGCAACGCCGCGUGGAGGAAGAAGGUCUUCGGAUCGUAAACUCCUGUCAGGUGGGACGAAGGUCUGUCGGCGAAUAGCCGUGCAGGCUUGACGGUACCGCCAGAGGAAGCCCCGGCUAACUCCGUGCCAGCAGCCGCGGUAAUACGGAGGGGGCGAGCGUUAUUCGGAAUUAUUGGGCGUAAAGGGCGCGUAGGCGGCUUCGCAAGUUGAAGGUGAAAUCCCUCGGCUCAACCGAGGAACUGCCUUCAAAACUGCGUGGCUUGAGGCCGGGAGGGGCCAGUGGAAUUCCCAGUGUAGCGGUGAAAUGCGUAGAGAUUGGGAGGAACACCGGUGGCGAAGGCGGCUGGCUGGACCGGUUCUGACGCUGAUGCGCGAAAGCGUGGGGAGCAAA
rnacentral:rRNA from 1 species